rnacentral:rRNA from 1 species
AUGGUGGCCACAAGCCCACAGCUCUCUCUCUCUCCUCAGACCGCCCCUCCUGUUUUUCCCCACCGCCGACGCGAGGUCCCGCACUCUUCCCACUCUUCUCAACCCCUCCUCCUCAAAUCGGUCGCCGAAGUGCCCGAGGAUCCGCUCGAGCUCGGCAUGGUCGCUGGGCGCGGGACGAAGGCCGACGCGAAGGCGCGGGACUCGUCUCCACCAGAUCGGCGGCCGUGGCUGUCAUGCGUCGCAACCUCCGCCCCUGGUUCCUUCCUCUCUAUAUCGCUCGUCGGCGGCUCCCACCACCCUGUGUGUGCGACUGCGCUGCGCCCUGCAAUGCCCAGGCACGACAGCAGUACCCCGGUGUCUGGUCCCCUGCAAGUGCAAGCCGGCGCCGGUAGACGAUCUAUUCCCCUCUUCGGCUUUCAUAUAUGCUUAUUUCUGAUUUGA